CGGCGCGCGGUCGGUUCCGGGGCUCUGCGGCCGGCCGAGGCUGGGCUGCGAUCUCGCCAGCACCCCUGGGACCGGGAGACUGAGCGAUGGAGGCGACGGCGAGCGGGCGCCCGGCCGGCGGGGCAGUCGUGUGCGCUGGCUCCAGCCCGGGGUCGCUGACCCCCUCGGGUCACAGGCGGCCUGGACGUGCAGCCAGAGCCAACAGCGACUGGUGUUGAGGACGGAGGCGGUGAUUCAGGCCGAGAGCGGAGGCGGGUUUCUCCAGGAGGGCGCACGAGCCGGGUUGACCGCGGGAGACCACGCCUCGGCUCUGGUUGGCUCAGAUACCACCCGUGGGAAGACUUUCCUGGUCCCUCCUGGUUUUAUGCCGUUUCCAGGGUUUCUCCUUCCUUCCCUGAUGGUAUAUUUCAGACAAAGUUGAUUCAUUCAUUCUACAAUAUUUAUUGGAUGCCUACUCUUUGUCAAGCGUGGUUCUACUUGCUGUUGAUAAAGGUUUCUUCUCAAGCUUACGCUGCAAUGAGGGAAACAGAAAAUAAAUAUAUGAUAUGGCAGAUGGUGUUUACAGGCCAAGAAGAAAAGCAAGUCAGGUCUAGGGGACAGAGCGACGUUGUGGAAGCAGGCUGUAGGUUUAGGCUCUGGGCUCCUCAUUUACUCGAGCAGUAUGGUGGCUGCCAUAUUCGCCACUCUGAAAGAGAGCUGCAGUGGCACCAAGGAAGCGUGCCUGGCGUUUGCCACGAGCCUGCACUCAUGCUGGCAUCGCACCUGCAUCGGAUGCUUGCUCUUCCGCAGCGUCCUGGGGAGCAGCUUCCUGGCAGUCAGAGCUGGAAGGAUUCUGAGCCUCCGUGCAGUCCGGCCAUGUUCCUGGCCCUCCCUGAGCUCUGGGGGCAGAGCCAGACGGGGAGGGCUAGUCCCGGCCUCCCCCACAAGGCUGUGCAGAGCCGGGACUAGCAGGAGCUGAUCACUCCAGACUCUGUGCCCUGUAGAAGAAAAGUCACAAAAGUAGAUAACGAGAAAGUUAUCUGUUGCUGUGUAACAAAUUAUCCCACAACGUAGCAGCUUAAAACAAGUAUCUAUUGUCUCACAGUUUCUGUGGGUCUGGAAUCCGGGCACGGCUUAGCUGGGAGCACCUGCCUCAAGGUGUCUUAGAAGGCUGCAGGCAGGGCGUCAGCUGCGACUAUGGCCUCGGCUGGAGGCUCCCCCGAGGAGAGGUCCAUGUGCAAGCUCGCUCACGUCGUUGUUGGCAGGAUUCAGUUCCUCAUGGGCUAUUAGACUGAAAGCCUUGUUCUUUUUUGCAUUUUGGCUGAAAGCCUUACUCAGUUGUUUGCCACACGGGCCUCCCCUCAGCCACUCACAACAUGGCAGGUGCCUUCCAUCUGAUGGAGCAAGCAAGACAGGACAGACAAGAUUGAAGGCAGUCUUUGGGACCUCGUUUCAGAAGUGGCGUCUUGUCACUUUUUGCUGUAUUCUGUUCUUUGGGUUCAGCCCACACUCCAGGGGAAGGGAUUCCAGAGGGAGUAUAUAUCAGGAGAAAGGGGAUCAUUGAGGGCCGUGUACAGGCUGCCUGCCACGACACCCUAGCCACCACUCUGUCUGUGCUCUUCCUGCUGUCCCCCAGCCCUCCUCCUCCUCCUCACCAGAGAUGGUAGUACUGUGUUCAUUGUAUUGUUAUUCUAGUCUUUGACUGUUAUUUUUUAAACUGUAACCUGAAUUGUGAGGUUGUGGGACGUACCUGAGAGUGAAAUGCAAUGACAGAGGUGCGCUCAUUAGGAAGCGUUCUGUCUACAUCCUUCCCAACAUCUGAUUACUUUUAAUUCCCAUUUCCUGAGUGACAUAGAGCAUCUUUUCUUAAGCUUACAAGUUAUUUAUCUUUACCUCGGAGCCAGGUUCGCCCCCCAAUCUAUUGAUACUUCCAGAGGUCCCUGAGGGUGCAGUCUUGGGAGUGGAGGAACAUUAAGGAAAGUCCCAGAAGGAAGUGUAGGCACAGCUCUGCCCUAGCGCCCUUGCACAUACCCAUGGAAGCCACACGGACAAGGCUUGGACCACAGCUGAUUCUAAGCCUUAAUCCUGAGUCAAAGUGUCGUGGUCCCCUGCAACACGAGAGCUGGGGAGGAGCUGCUUCACCAGCACGUCCCACUGGCCUGCCCGUCUCUCCCGGAGGCCGGACUGACAGGGUUGCGCGUGGCCUCCGGGUUCUGACCAGGAUGAGGCUGUAGGAGAGCUGAACUCCAGCCGGGCAGCGGCUCCUCAGAACGAGGCGCCUGUCAUUCCUGUUGCAGUUACCUGGUCACUUCCGGUGUCACCCUGCACAAGGGCCAUGGGGAGCUGGCGUCUUUGGCUACUUUUCCUUUUGUAGUCUGUGGAAGUAAUAAACUGAAUCUGAAAAGGGCUCUGGCUUUCUUCACCAGAGAAUCUGUUGGCCUUGGCCUGCCUGUCCUCGAGAGCAUGGAAGGAAAUGAGGGGAGGUGGGGAGGGGCAAAGGGUCCCAGGUCCGGGCCCUGCCCUGUCUUUGGAGCCUACAGCAUAUCUCCCCUUGCCCAGCGCAAAAUUCUUUCUGCCCCUUCUUCCCUCCAAGGCUUGAUCCAGCUACCUUCAGGUUUGCCCACUUCCCUCUCAGGAUCUUGUACCCAGAGCUGUAUAAUUCUAAGAAUUUAUGCAUUUAUUCUAGAUUAUCCAAUUUGUGGGCAUAUAGUUUUUCAUAGUAUUCUCUUUA